rnacentral:tRNA from 1 species
GGCCUCUUCGUCUACCGGUUAGGACGCAAGAUUUUCAUUCUUGAAAUAUGGGUUCGAUUCCCGUAGAGGCUA